rnacentral:lncRNA from 1 species
AGCAGGAGCACCGCCAUUGACCGCCGCAGCUGGCAAGCCUUGAACUGCUGCUUGCAUGUUUCCCAUUUGACCCAUCUGGCCCAUAGGCAUACCACCACUCAUUUGGCCCACGCCACCCCCACCACCACUCAUACCCAUCAUGUUAGGCAUAACAUUCAUUCCACCCUGCUUUCCUCCAUUACCACCAGGAGCCCCACCACCACCGCCACCUCCUCCGCCAUUAUUUUGGCCACCGCCACCACCAUUAGGCUUGCCACCACCAUUCUUAGGUUGUCCACCGCCUCCUUGAUUUUGAUUGCCUCCAUUUCCUCCGCCGCCAGCACCACCUUUCUUUCCACCGUUACCAUUCAUCUGAACAGGAAUGUUUCCACCACCACCUCCGCCGCCCCCACCUUU